rnacentral:rRNA from 1 species
AGAGUUUGAUCCUGGCUCAGGACGAACGCUGGCGGCGCGCCUAACACAUGCAAGUCGAACGAGCGAGAGAGAGCUUGCUUUCUCGAGCGAGUGGCGAACGGGUGAGUAACGCGUGAGUAACCUGCCCUAGAGUGGGGGACAACAGUUGGAAACGACUGCUAAUACCGCAUAAGCCCACGGUGCCGCAUGGGCACUGAGGGAAAAGGAUUUAUUCGCUUUAGGAUGGACUCGCGUCCAAUUAGCUAGUUGGUGAGGUAACGGCCCACCAAGGCGACGAUUGGUAGCCGGACUGAGAGGUUGAACGGCCACAUUGGGACUGAGACACGGCCCAGACUCCUACGGGAGGCAGCAGUGGGGGAUAUUGCACAAUGGGGGAAACCCUGAUGCAGCGACGCCGCGUGGAGGAAGAAGGUUUUCGGAUUGUAAACUCCUGUCGUUAGGGACGAUAAUGACGGUACCUAACAAGAAAGCACCGGCUAACUACGUGCCAGCAGCCGCGGUAAAACGUAGGGUGCAAGCGUUGUCCGGAAUUACUGGGUGUAAAGGGAGCGCAGGCGGGAAGACAAGUUGGAAGUGAAAACCAUGGGCUCAACCCAUGAAUUGCUUUCAAAACUGUUUUUCUUGAGUAGUGCAGAGGUAGAUGGAAUUCCCGGUGUAGCGGUGGAAUGCGUAGAUAUCGGGAGGAACACCAGUGGCGAAGGCGGUCUACUGGGCACCAACUGACGCUGAGGCUCGAAAGCAUGGGUAGCAAACAGGAUUAGAUACCCUGGUAGUCCAUGCCGUAAACGAUGAUUACUAGGUGUUGGGGGAUUGACCCCCUCAGUGCCGCAGUUAACACAAUAAGUAAUCCACCUGGGGAGUACGACCGCAAGGUUGAAACUCAAAGGAAUUGACGGGGGCCCGCACAAGCAGUGGAGUAUGUGGUUUAAUUCGAAGCAACGCGAAGAACCUUACCAGGUCUUGACAUCCGAUGCAUAGCACAGAGAUGUGUGAAAUCCUUCGGGACAUCGAGACAGGUGGUGCAUGGUUGUCGUCAGCUCGUGUCGUGAGAUGUUGGGUUAAGUCCCGCAACGAGCGCAACCCUUAUUGCCAGUUACUACGUUAAGAGGACUCUGGCGAGACUGCCGUUGACAAAACGGAGGAAGGUGGGGAUGACGUCAAAUCAUCAUGCCCUUUAUGACCUGGGCUACACACGUACUACAAUGGCGUUAAACAAAGAGAAGCAAGACCGCGAGGUGGAGCAAAACUCAAAAACAACGUCUCAGUUCAGAUUGCAGGCUGCAACUCGCCUGCAUGAAGUCGGAAUUGCUAGUAAUCGCGGAUCAGCAUGCCACGGUGAAUACGUUCCCGGGCCUUGCACACACCGCCCGUCA